rnacentral:rRNA from 1 species
ACGCGCGGAACCUUACCAGGUCUUGACAUCCCAUUGACCGCUAUGGAGACAUAGUUUUCCCUUCGGGGACAGUGGUGACAGGUGGUGCAUGGUUGUCGUCAGCUCGUGUCGUGAGAUGUUGGGUUAAGUCCCGCAACGAGCGCAACCCUUGUUCUUAGUUGCCAUCAUUUAGUUGGGCACUCUAAGGAGACUGCCGGUGACAAACCGGAGGAAGGUGGGGAUGACGUCAAAUCAUCAUGCCCCUUAUGACCUGGGCUACACACGUGCUACAAUGGACGGUACAAACGGUUGCCAACCCGCGAGGGGGAGCUAAUCCGAUAAAACCGUUCUCAGUUCGGAUUGUAGGCUGCAACUCGCCUACAUGAAGCUGGAAUCGCUAGUAAUCGCGGAUCAGCAUGCCGCGGUGAAUACGUUCCCGGGCCUUGCACACACCGCCCGU